rnacentral:rRNA from 1 species
UACGUAGGGUGCGAGCGUUGUCCGGAAUCACUGGGCGUAAAGGGCGCGUAGGCGGCGCGGGCAGUCAACGGUGAAAGCUCGGAGCUCAACUCCGAGUCGGCCGUCGAUACUCCCGUGCUUGAGCACUGUAGAGGCAGGUGGAAUUCCGGGUGUAGCGGUGGAAUGCGUAGAGAUCCGGAAGAACACCGGUGGCGAAGGCGGCGAUCUGGGAAGAUACCGACGCUGAGGUGCGAAAGCGUGGGGAGCAAACAGG